rnacentral:rRNA from 1 species
AUGGCGGCGGCGAUCCCCAUUCUUCUCCUCACCUUCCUCCUCGCGGCGGCAACGCCAUCGGCCGGGCCUUCAUACGUCAUCAAGACGACGUGCGCAGCGGUGACCAAUGCCACCGUGGGUACGCCCUACAGAUACUGCGUCCGCACGCUCUCGGCCAACCCCGCGGCCGCCGCCGCCAAGGACGCCCGCGGGCUUGCCAUCGCGGCGACCAACCUCACCGCCACCAACGUCACGUCGACGGAGCUAACCAUCACCAGGCUAAUCGACGCCCUCUACAACUGCCUCGUCACCUACCAAAGCAUGCAAGCAUCAAUCGCCGGGGCGCUCCAAGACUUGAACGCCGGCCGCUUUGACGUGGCAUCGCCCAAGCUCAGGGACGCUUCGUUUCAGCCGGACUUCUGUGAACUGGCGAUGAUGGAAAGCGACACCGACAAGGACCCCAUGUCGGACGAGAACAAUGCAAACUAUUUGGUGUCCGGCAUGGCGUAUAACAUCGCGGAACUCAUCGCCCGCCAUGCCGCCAAAUGA